CAUCGGAUAAAACUAUGAUAAAUCCAUCAUAAUUAAAAAAAGUCCAAUUUUCUCACAUAGUCAAAUGAAUAUAAACAUCUAAAACUGGAUUACUCAAAAACAAGGGGGAUAGAGCCCAUUUUCAGUCCUCAUAAGUACGGCAUUCGUCUGUCUCCGGGUUGUCCUUGCAGUAAUUCUCCAAAGGGUCAGACUGCUUCUUCUUGUCCAUCGUAUGGCUAGCAGCUGCACUCAGCUCCUCCACUUCGUCCCAAGCCGCUACGCAUUCCCCGCUCGCUGGGUCGCCGGCGCAGGCCUCCUCCGCGCUUUUGAUGCUUUCUUCCACCUUCUCCGAUAUGCUAUCGGUGGCUGCUCUCACUUUUUGGAUUUGCACGCGUCCAUACCCCAAUUGGUAUGCCCUCUUCCAUGGGUAGUUUAACUUGAAGAUGGGUUUAGCCUUUGGUGCUUCUGUGGCCUUGGCUAAGACUCUGGGAGUUGAGAUGUUAAGACCAGCUAAUGUUGACAUUUUAGUCUGCUACUUUGCUUUCUGUAGUAUCUGCUAUGUUAUGGUCUAGCAAUGGGCACUUGUUAAUGUCGAUGGACG
rnacentral:misc_RNA from 1 species